AGCAGCCGCGGUAAUUCCAGCUCCAAUAGCGUAUAUUAAAGUUGUUGCAGUUAAAAAGCUCGUAGUUGAAUUUCGGGAUCAAGGAAUCGGUCAUGCCUUGGUAUGUACUGGUUUUAUUGGUUCUCACCUUCUAAAGAACCAUAAUGUCAUUCAUUUGAUGUUAUGGGGAAUUAGGACUGUUACCUUGAAAAAUUAGAGUGUUUAAAGCAAGCUAACGCUUGAAUACAUUAGCAUGGAAUAAUGAAAUAGGACGUUCGAUCCUAUUUUGUUGGUUUCUAGGAUUGACGUAAUGAUUAAUAGGGAUAGUUGGGGGCAUUAGUAUUCAAUUGUCAGAGGUGAAAUUCUUGGAUUUAUUGAAGGCUAACUACUGCGAAAGCAUUUGCCAAGGAUGUUUUCAUUAAUCAAGAACGAAAGUUAGGGGGAUCGAAGACGAUCAGAUACCGUCGUAGUCUUAACCAUAAACUAUGCUGACUAGGGAUCGGAUGAUGUUAAUUUUUAAUGUACUCA
rnacentral:rRNA from 1 species